ensembl:snoRNA SNORA70 Small nucleolar RNA SNORA70
CUACAGCCAGUCAAGCCGACUGGGUCUCCUCCUGGUGGUGCCCAGUAUGCGCUGGCUGUGCACGGCAACCUCCUCGGUAGUGUACGCAGUCGGUUGCUUGUAUGGGCUGCCCUAAGGGGUCUUGGAGGCACUU